UACAGAAGCCUCAAGCGUUACCCGGAUUUACUGGGCGUAAAGGGUAUGUAGGCGGUUUUAUUAGUCGUGUGUCAAAUCUUCGGGCUCAACCCGAAGUUCGCGCAGGAAACGGUAAAACUAGAAGGAGUGAGAGGUGUGCGGAACUCAAGGUGUAGCAGUGAAAUGCGUUGAUAUCUUGGGGAACACCGAAUGCGAAGGCAGCACACUGGCACUUUCUUGACGCUGAGAUACGAAAGCGUGGGUAGCGAACGGG
rnacentral:misc_RNA from 1 species